GAUGAACGCUGGCGGCGUGCUUAACACAUGCAAGUCGAACGGAAAGACCCUGCGCUUGUUGGGUGCUCGAUUGCCGAGCGGGGGAGUGACACGCGUGUAAACCGUCCUUGUAUUUGUGAUAAAUUCUGGGGACAGGGGCUCAUACACGAUAGGAGCUACUGCUGCGCGUUGGGCAUUGGUAAGUUUCGGCUGUGGGGGAUGGUAUAGCGGCUUAUCAGCUGGAUGGUGGGGUAGUGGCUUACCAAGGCUUUGAAGGGUAGCCGGCCUGAGAGGGUUAACGGCCACAUUGGGACUGAGAUACGGCCCAGACGCCUACGGGAGGCAGCAGUGGGGAAUAUUGCACAAUGGGCGGAAGCCUGAUGCAGCAACGCCGCGUGCGGGAUGACGGGCUUCGGGUUGUAAACCGCUUUCGCCUGUGACGAAGCGUGAGUGACGGUAAUGGGUAAAGAAGCACCGGCUAACUACGUG
rnacentral:rRNA from 1 species